UGAUAGCAGGGACCCCUUGUAUCUUUCCCCUUGGCGAAUCUACAGUUCGCCGCCUAGCUCUCGGCCAUACUACC
rnacentral:tRNA from 1 species